rnacentral:rRNA from 1 species
CCUACGGGUGGCAGCAGUGGGGGAUAUUGCACAAUGGAGGAAACUCUGAUGCAGCGACGCCGCGUGAGGGAAGACGGUCUUCGGAUUGUAAACCUCUGUUUUUGGGGAAGAAAAUGACGGUACUCAAAGAGGAAGCUGCGGCUAAUUACGUGCCGGCAGCCGCGGUAAUAAGUCGGGAGCGAGCGGUGUCCGGAAUUACGGGGGGAAAGGGGAGGGUAGGCGGGCGGGAAAGUUGACUGGUAAACGUACGGGGUAAACUGGUAGCUGCGUUCAAAACUGCUUGUCUUGAGUGAUGGAGAGGCAGGCGGAAUUCCGGGUGUAGCGGUGAAAUGCGUAGAUAUUAGGAGGAACACCAGUGGCGAAGGCGGACUGCUGGGCUUUAACUGACGCUGAGGCUCGAAAGCGUGGGGAGCAAACAGGAUUAGAUACCCGGGUAGUC